UCCCUGGAAGUCCAGUGGUUAGGACUCAGAACUCUUAUUGCUGAGGGCCCAGGUUCAAUCCCUGGUUGGGGAA